CAGUCGCCGCGGGAAUACAGAGGGUGCGAGCGUUAAUCGGAUUUACUGGGCGUAAAGCGUGCGUAGGCGGCUUCUUAAGUCGGAUGUGAAAUCCCUGAGCUUAACUUAGGAAUUGCAUUCGAUACUGGGAAGCUAGAGUAUGGGAGAGGAUGGUAGAAUUCCAGGUGUAGCGGUGAAAUGCGUAGAGAUCUGGAGGAAUACCGAUGGCGAAGGCAGCCAUCUGGCCUAAUACUGACGCUGAGGUACGAAAGCAUGGGGAGCAAACAGGAUUAGAGACCCCAGUAGUCCCUGUCUCUUAUAA
rnacentral:rRNA from 1 species